ACAUUAGCGAUGAGUUUGUCAAUUUGUCGCUAAGAAAACAAACAUUAGCGACGAGUUUAUCUAAUUCGCCACUAAUAUCAAGAUUAAGCAACGAAUUUAUCAAAUUUAUCACCACCAUCCUGCCACCUCUCCUCUUCGAAUUAAAAGAAGGAAAACCAGCCGCCACCUUCGGAAAGCUUCAUUUCCACCACUGACUCCACAUCCACAGCCCCUUCUUCUCUUCGGGUUAGAAGAGAAGAGAAGUUCCUUCAUCAUCCGUCCAUCUACCUCUUCUGGUUAGGAGAAGGAGACCCGAUAGCUCCACCUCUUUGGGUUAGAAGAGGAGGAUUCGUCCUCCGUUCUGAUCCGCAUAUGACAACCCUUCUUUCCUCUCCUCUUCGGGUUAGAAGAGGAGUGGACAUCCACUUUAUCUUCCGACAACCCCUCUUCUCUUCAGGUUAGAAGAGAAGAGGUCCUCCUUCAUCCGUGCUUCAAUCAGCCCCUUCCGAAGCUCCAUCCGUAACUGUAAAAUUCAUGAAAGAACCUAAUCGAUAAUCCAAAGGACUGGUGGGACUACAUAUCAACGAAGCCAAACGAGAAAUAUCUUGAUUUUUAGCACAAGGAGACUGUUGAAACUUUACGGCUUAGUACUUGGAACAUUCCUGAAUGGGUUUCGUUGAAGUUGCGCCAGCUGAGACAACGUCGUAGGCAGAAAUGCUCCGUCGUAGUAAGUUCUUUGGAUGUAAACUUGAUGGUAUGAUUUUUAUUUGUUGUGUUAUUUGUUGUUAGAAUUGUGAAUUUGUUAAUUGGUGAUAGAGUUGUGUUAUUUAUUUGUUGUGUUGUUGUUAGAGUUGUUACUGAAUAUUGUUAGAGUUGUGAAUGUUUUGUGAACUUGAUCAUAUUGAAAUAUGAGUUAUUUGUGAGUU